rnacentral:tRNA from 1 species
GUUUUUAUAGUUGAAUAACAGCAAUAGCUUUUCGAGCUGCAGGUCUAGGUUAAAAUCCUGGUAGAAACA